rnacentral:rRNA from 1 species
AACUGCGAAUGGCUCAUUAAAUCAGUUAUGAUCUACGUGACAAAUUCUUUACUACUUGGAUAACCGUGGUAAUUCUAGAGCUAAUACAUGCAAAAAAGCCCUGACUUACGAAGGGGUGCACUUAUUAGAUAAAACCAACGCGGGGUAAAACCUGUUUCUUGGUGAAUCAUAAUAAUUAAGCGGAUCGCAUGGCCUUGUGCCGGCGACGGUCCACUCGAUUUUCUGCCCUAUCAUGGUUGAGAUUGUAAGAUAGAGGCUUACAAUGCCUACAACGGGUAACGGGGAAUUAGGGUUCGAUUCCGGAGAGGGAGCCUGAGAAACGGCUACCACAUCCAAGGAAGGCAGCAGGCGCGCAAAUUACCCAAUCCCGACACGGGGAGGUAGUGACAAUACAUAACAAUGCAGGGCCUUUAAGGUCUUGCAAUUGGAAUGAGUACAAUUUAAAUCCCUUAACGAGGAUCAAUUGGAGGGCAAGUCUGGUGCCAGCAGCCGCGGUAAUUCCAGCUCCAAUAGCGUAUAUUAAAGUUGUUGCAGUUAAAACGUCCGUAGUCAAACUUUAGUCUUACCGGCGUAGUGGCCUGGUCUUCAUUGACCAAGCUCAUUGCUGCCGGAGACUCCACGUCCAUUGACUCCUAGUCCUCGUGGCUAGGGUUUUCUGGACAAUUACCAUGAGCAAAUCAGAGUGUUUAAAGCAGGCUUUUAAGCUUGAAUGUGUUAGCAUGGAAUAAUGAAAUAUGACUUUAGUCCUAUUUUCGUUGGUUUAGGUACUUCAGUAAUGAUGAAUAGAAACGGUUAGGGGCAUUUGUAUUUGGUCGCUAGAGGUGAAAUUCUUGGAUUGACCGAAGACAAACUACUGCGAAAGCAUUUGACCCGGGACGUUUUCAUUGAUCAAGGUCUAAAGUUAAGGGAUCGAAGACGAUUAGAUACCGUCGUAGUCUUAACCACAAACUAUGCCGACUAGAGAUUGGGCGUGUUUAUUAUGACUCGCUCAGCAUCUUAGCGAA